GACGAACGCUGGCGGCGUGCUUAACACAUGCAAGUCGAACGAAGUGGCGAACGGUUGAGUAAUACGUGAGUAACCUGCCCUCUUCUUUGGGUUAAGCCUUGGAAACGGGGUCUAAUACCGAAUAAAGGGGGAUGGGCUCGCGGCCUAUCAGCUUGUUGGUGGGGUGAUGGCCUAACAAGGCGGUGACGGGUUGCCGGCCUGAGAGGGUGACCGACAACAUGGGGACUGAGAGACGGCCCAGACUCCUACGGGAGGCAGCAGUGGGGGAUAUUGGACAAGAGGCGAAAGCCUGAUCCAGCCAUGCCGCGUGUGUGAAGAAGGUCUUCGGAUUGUAAGGCUCUUUAAGUUGGGAGACGUUACCAACAGAAUAAGCACCGGCUAACUUCGUGCCAGCAGGCGCGGUAAUAC
rnacentral:rRNA from 1 species